AUGAGAAGACCUUCUCGUUAGCUGAUCUAGAUCCUUUCUUCAAAUCUCUUAAAUCUUUUUAGAGGUUGAAGAUGAACUUUUGGAGGAGAUGAAGAUGUAAAAGAAGUGUGAAGAGAAAAUAAUUUUUCCUCUUAUUUUUCCUUCUUCCCAAACCCUAGGUCCAAACCCUAGGGGAUUUAGAUUUUGUGCUCACUUAAAG
rnacentral:lncRNA from 1 species